UCGGACGUGGUGCGCGGUGCACGCCCUCUGUUUAUACAUUGACUUCGUGACAUGAUUCAAGCGGGCAAUCUGGGUUCGACUCCCAGCGUCCGAA